UACAGAGGUGGCAAGCGUUGUUCGGAAUUACUGGGCGUAAAGGGCGCGUAGGCGGCUUGGUCAGUCCCGUGUGAAAUCCCUCGGCUCAACUGAGGAACUGCACGGGAAACUGCCUGGCUUGAGUUCGGGAGAGGGAAGCGGAAUUCCGGGUGUAGCGGUGAAAUGCGUAGAUAUCCGGAGGAACACCAGUGGCGAAGGCGGCCUCCUGGAUCAACACUGACGCUGAGGUGCGAAAGCGUGGGGAGCAAACAGG
rnacentral:rRNA from 1 species